GACGAACGCUGGCGGCGUGCCUAAUACAUGCAAGUUGAGCGCUGAAGGUUGGUACUUGUACCAACUGGAUGAGCAGCGAACGGGUGAGUAACGCGUGGGGAAUCUGCCUUUGAGCGGGGGACAACAUUUGGGGACGAAUGCUAAUACCGCAUAAAAACUUUAAACACAAGUUUCAAGUUUGAAAGAUGCAAUUGCAUCACUCAAAGAUGAUCCCGCGUUGUAUUAGCUAGUUGGUGAGGUAAAGGCUCACCAAGGCGAUGAUACAUAGCCGACCUGAGAGGGUGAUCGGCCACAUUGGGACUGAGACACGGCCCAAACUCCUACGGGAGGCAGCAGUAGGGAAUCUUCGGCAAUGGACGAAAGUCUGACCGAGCAACGCCGCGUGAGUGAAGAAGGUUUUCGGAUCGUAAAACUCUGUUGGUAGAGAAGAACGUUGGUGAGAGUGGAAAGCUCAUCAAGUGACGGUAACUACCCAGAAAGGGACGGCUAACUACGUG
rnacentral:rRNA from 1 species